GGGUUGUGAGGUUAAGCGACUAAGCGUACACGGUGGAUGCCCUGGCAGUCAGAGGCGAUGAAGGGCGUACUAAUCUGCGAUAAGCGCCGGUAAGGUGAUAUGAACCGUUAUAACCGGCGAUACCCGAAUGGGGAAACCCAGUGUGA
rnacentral:rRNA from 4 species